UACGAAGGGGGCUAGCGUUGCUCGGAAUCACUGGGCGUAAAGGGUGCGUAGGCGGGUUUUUAAGUCAGAGGUGAAAUCCUGGAGCUCAACUCCAGAACUGCCUUUGAUACUGAUAGUCUUGAGUAUGGGAGAGGUGAGUGGAACUGCGAGUGUAGAGGUGAAAUUCGUAGAUAUUCGCAAGAACACCAGUGGCGAAGGCGGCUCACUGGCCCGAUACUGACGCUGAGGCACGAAAGCGUGGGGAGCAAACAGG
rnacentral:rRNA from 1 species